rnacentral:rRNA from 1 species
AGUCGAACGGUAAGGCUCCAGCUUGCUGGGGUACACGAGUGGCGAACGGGUGAGUAACACGUGGGUGACCUGCCCUGCACUUCGGGAUAAGCCUGGGAAACUGGGUCUAAUACCGGAUAGGACCGCACCGUGAGGGUGUGGUGGAAAGUUUUUUCGGUGUGGGAUGGGCCCGCGGCCUAUCAGCUUGUUGGUGGGGUAAUGGCCUACCAAGGCGGCGACGGGUAGCCGGCCUGAGAGGGUGGACGGCCACAUUGGGACUGAGACACGGCCCAGACUCCUACGGGAGGCAGCAGUGGGGAAUAUUGCACAAUGGGCGGAAGCCUGAUGCAGCGACGCCGCGUGGGGGAUGACGGCCUUCGGGUUGUAAACUCCUUUCACCAUCGACGAAGGGUUUCUGACGGUAGAUGGAGAAGAAGCACCGGCUAACUACGUGCCAGCAGCCGCGGUAAUACGUAGGGUGCGAGCGUUGUCCGGAAUUACUGGGCGUAAAGAGCUCGUAGGUGGUUUGUCGCGUCGUCUGUGAAAUUCCGGGGCUUAACUCCGGGCGUGCAGGCGAUACGGGCAUAACUUGAGUACUGUAGGGGAGACUGGAAUUCCUGGUGUAGCGGUGAAAUGCGCAGAUAUCAGGAGGAACACCGGUGGCGAAGGCGGGUCUCUGGGCAGUAACUGACGCUGAGGAGCGAAAGCAUGGGGAGCGAACAGGAUUAGAUACCCUGGUAGUCCAUGCCGUAAACGGUGGGCGCUAGGUGUGGGUUUCCUUCCACGGGAUCCGUGCCGUAGCUAACGCAUUAAGCGCCCCGCCUGGGGAGUACGCCGCAAGG